CACGUAGGGGGCAAGCGUUGUCCGGAUUCAUUGGGCGUAAAGAGCUCGUAGGCGGUUCGAUAAGUCGGGUGUGAAACCUCCAGGCUCAACCUGGAGACGCCACCCGAUACUGUCGUGACUAGAGUCCGGAAGGGGCGAGUGGAAUUCCUGGUGUAGCGGUGAAAUGCGCAGAUAUCAGGAGGAACACCAAUGGCGAAGGCAGCUCGCUGGGACGUGACUGACGCUGAGACGCGAAAGCGUGGGGAGCAAACAGG
rnacentral:rRNA from 1 species